GUAAUCAGCUGGGCGGCGUACCACGGCGAGCAUGGCCCAGCGGCAGUGGUAGACCUCGGACUCCUUGAACCGCUCGAAGUUCUCCGGCACGGUGGCGAGGCCGAGGGGGUCGAAGCCGAAGUCCCUGGGUAAAUUAAAGGCAUCGUCAGGUCAGAGAAUCUGCAGAGCACGCCGCUCCUCGACGCCGCCGCCGCUAGCUUACCCGGGGGAGGAGCCGUCGAGGUGGGCGGGGCGGGGCUGGCCGGGCAUCCACUCGGCGGACAUGGUGACGCGGCCGGAGGUGGUGGCGUUGGCGCAGAACGGCAGCCGGCCGGAGCGCGACGACGGCGCCAGCAGGCUGGGCACGCCCACGGCGCUGCAGCUCCGGAGCCCGCUCGACG
rnacentral:lncRNA from 1 species